CUCGUAGGCGGCCUGUCGCGUCUGCUGUGAAAUCCCGGGGCUUAACCCCGGGCGUGCAGUGGAUACGGGCUGGCUGGAGGCAGGCAGGGGAGAAUGGAAUUCCCGGUGUAGCGGUGAAAUGCGCAGAUAUCGGGAGGAACACCGGUGGCGAAGGCGGUUCUCUGGGCCUGUGCUGACGCUGAGGAGCGAAAGCGUGGGGAGCGAACA
rnacentral:rRNA from 1 species